rnacentral:tRNA from 1 species
UCCUUAGUAGCUCAGUGGUAGAGCAAUCGGCUGUUAACCGAUUGGUCGCUGGUUCAAGUCCAGCCUAAGGAG